UUGGAUUUUUGCUGAAAACCUGUAAUGAUUCUCCAGGGAAAAAAUCCUUUCCUAACCAAACUAGUCAUUUCCUAGGCCCUCCCACCAUGCGUGGCAGAUUUCUGUCUUGCAUCGUGCACUGUGGACUUUGACAUUGGCUUCAUAUUUCAGCACUAGGAAGCGUUCGGGGCACAAAUGGCUUCUCCUCAUCCCUCAGAUGGACUCCAUCAGUUCCAGCAUGGAAUUCUCAAAGACCCUCAGUGCUUCAGAAUUGCCCCUUUGGCUGCUCUGCUGUGCCAGAUGCGGGCGUUCAUGUGUCUGCACUGGAACAUUGCUGAUAACACAGAGAUUGCUUCUAAGGCAAGAAGGGACCACUGUGAUCAUCUAGUCUGACUUCCUGUGUAACACAGGCCAUAAAACUUCCCCCAAACGAUUCCUGUUUGAACUAGAGCAGAUUUUAAGAAAAACCCCAUCUUGAUUUAAAACUUGCCAGUGAGAGAGAAUCCAGCACAAUCAUUGACACUCUUGCAGCGAGUAAUGUUGACUGCAAAUGAGGCUUCAGAGUUCUGAACAACAUAAUCACGGAUAAACGGACUACACUGACCACUCGUCAUGUGGCGGAUCUACUUUUUAUUUCAAUCGUUGGCCCUCCCUACACUGAGUGGAAUCCUGCUGCAUAUGUUAAAUCAUGGUUGAGCAAGGGACGUUGGGCAGCCCAUUCACAUGAGGGCAUGGCACGAUGAGGGCAUGGCACAAUGAGAGCAAGCAAAGCAACCGGAGCAGGCUUACUACGCACCGCUGUGGAAGUGUCUUUGAUUUGGUAAGUUGCUGUCAUAAAUUUGAAAAUUACUUUAUUGAACUGACUAAUUGAAUUAGCUAUUUGAAUGACUAUCAAUUGAUGUAACUAAUAUUGUAGUUAGGUAGCUAUUGAGACCCUAAGGUUUUUGUGUUGAUGGUCAUGGAACAUGGCACAAGAGCCUCCCUUAACCUUUUUUAUACACACAAGGGUUAGCUACAAUUACAACCCAGGGCCUUUGUUCUCCUUGCUAGCAUCCCAUCUGGUUAAGCUGCACUUUCUGAAGGGAUGUCAGUAGCACUGGGACUGUUUGGCUCUGCACUGCUGCUACUAAUUGAGACCUUUGCUUGAUAGGCUGAAUCUUGCCAUCUGUUUGUACAGAUAUUUCUUAUCGGAUAUGUAAAGGUCAUCCUACAGGAGAAACAAACAAAACCUACUCCUUGGCAGUGAACUACUUGAGGGGAGUACAGGUCAAACAAAUGAACUGUCCACCUCCUGCAUUCCAUUUCUUCUAAUCAUCAAGACAAGCAGCCUCCCUACCAGUAUCCACAGAACUGUGAUUGGAAGGGACAAAUGCAGCUUCUUCUCUGUUACAAAUUUGUCCAGUUUCUGCAGUUACUACAGUUUUGGAGGUUUAGGAAGGACAUUAGUUUAUGACCUGCAAAUCUGACCCACCAUGCCCCUCCUGGAGAUAUUAAAUCCAAUGCUGGUUGGGAUUAGUGCUUCCCUGCUGUGGGAACACAACAUACCAUCUUCCCUCAAAUACACAGCAGUUAGGCUUCUGCUCAAGAAACCAUUUCAAUUUUGUGAGUUAUCACCCUAUCUCUAAUCUUCCCUUCCACUUGAGAAGGAAGAUGGAGUUUAGACAACUUUAAGGUAAUCUGGAGCCUUCAUUGUGACACCCUGACACCCCAAUAUUGACCACUGUCAUGUAAUUAGGAUAUGUUUUGUACAAAGCAUGUCUUGUGAGUUAUCAUUCUAAAAGUCUUGAUCUGAUAAACAUUAAUAUCUACGUGGAUUGUAUGUGUUAUCGUUGUAUGUGAAGUUAUGAAGGUUGGCUAUGUAUGUGUUACUGAAACAUGUUGUGAGGUUGAAAACCUCCACAAGCAGCCUUUCAGGUACAACAGUAAAAAGGCCAAACAAUGUUAAUGGCUUAUUGAGGAAAUGCACAAAGGACAAGGAUUACUCUGGGAACUAUGUACAAUAGAAACCUCUCAGCGACAGCACUACACAAUGGGAACUAUAUGACACAGCUCUCAGCAAAAGAGCUUUCCAGCAAGUGGGAAGAAGAUACAAAAGGAGGAAAAUGAUAACAUGAGGGGACCUCACUCUUUUUGCAACACCACACCUGGAAACACCUGAGGAAUACAGACUGAACAAGGGGGAAGUGAUGGUCCCAGGCUAAGGGAUUGCUAGCCUAUGUAUGAAAACCUGGGAAAGCCAAAGCAACUUGUGCCUUAAGAAUCUGUCAACCUGUUUAUCACUCAGGGUGAGAAUUUGCUUAAGUAUAUCCUAUCUAUCUACUGUGCUAAACUCCAUUUGCUGAUUUUGUUUAUUUACUAAGGUAAUCUACUUUGUUCUGUUUGUUCUCUCUUAUAACCACUUAAA